rnacentral:rRNA from 1 species
AGAGUUUGAUCCUGGCUCAGAAUCAACGCUGGCGGCGUGCCUAACACAUGCAAGUCGAACGAGAAAGCGGGGGCAACCCUGCAAGUACAGUGGCAGACGGGUGAGUAACACGUGAACAACCUACCCUUGAGUGGGGAAUAACACCGCGAAAGCGGUGCUAAUACCGCAUAAUAUCCCCGGAUUGCAUGAUCUGGAGAUCAAAAGCGAAAGUUGCUUGAGGAGGGGUUCGCGCCUGAUUAGCUAGUUGGUGAGGUAACGGCCCACCAAGGCUACGAUCAGUAGCCGGCCUGAGAGGGCGAACGGCCACACUGGAACUGAGACACGGUCCAGACUCCUACGGGAGGCAGCAGUGGGGAAUUUUGCGCAAUGGGCGAAAGCCUGACGCAGCAACGCCGCGUGGAGGAUGAAGGCCUUCGGGUCGUAAACUCCUGUCAGUGGGGACGAAAGCCUCGCAAGAGGUUUGACUGUACCCGCUGAGGAAGCCACGGCUAACUCCGUGCCAGCAGCCGCGGUAAUACGGAGGUGGCAAGCGUUGUUCGGAAUUACUGGGCGUAAAGGGCGCGUAGGCGGCUUGGCAAGUCAGAUGUGAAAGCCCCGGGCUUAACUCGGGAAUUGCAUCUGAAACUGCCUUGCUUGAGUCCUGGAGGGGAUAGUGGAAUUCCCAGUGUAGCGGUGAAAUGCGUAGAUAUUGGGAGGAACACCUGCGGCGAAGGCGGCUAUCUGGACAGUGACUGACGCUGAGGCGCGAAAGCUAGGGGAGCGAACGGGAUUAGAUACCCCGGUAGUCCUAGCUGUAAACGAUGGGCACUUGGUGUUGGGGGUAUUGAGUCCCUCGGUGCCGGAGUUAACACGUUAAGUGCCCCGCCUGGGGAGUACGGUCGCAAGACUGAAACUCAAAUGAAUUGACAA